GUGAGUGGGUGGGGGGAGGUGGCCGUGGAAGUUGGGUGGGUGCCCUUUAUCAACUCCUCAUUCCUUCCUUCCUUCCAG
rnacentral:miRNA from 1 species